ACGGAAACCAAAUCGUGCUCCGCCUUGAAUGUUACCCAUAAUCCCCCGCUCUUCCUUUCGCACAGUCUCCGCGCAGGAUGGCACCGAAGAAGGGCGAGAAGAAGAAGGGGCGCUCUGCCAUCAACGAGGUGGUGACCCGCGAGUACACCAUCAACGUCCACAAGCGCAUCCACGGCAUCUCCUUCAAGU